GCCUAUCAGCUUGUUGGUGGGGUGAUGGCCUACCAAGGCGGUGACGGGUAGCCGGCCUGAGAGGGCGACCGGCCACACUGGGACUGAGACACGGCCCAGACUCCUACGGGAGGCAGCAGUGGGGAAUAUUGCGCAAUGGGCGGAAGCCUGACGCAGCGACGCCGCGUGGGGGAUGACGGCCUUCGGGUUGUAAACCUCUUUCGCCAGGGACGAAGAGUGAUUGACGGUACCUGGAGAAGAAGCACCGGCCAACUACGUGCCAGCAGCCGCGGUAACACGUAGGGUGCGAGCGUUGUCCGGAAUUAUUGGGCGUAAAGAGCUCGUAGGCGGUGUGUCGCGUCGGCCGUGAAAACUUGGGGCUUAACUCUGAGCGUGCGGUCGAUACGGGCAUCACUUGAGUUCGGCAGGGGAGACUGGAAUUCCUGGUGUAGCGGUGAAAUGCGCAGAUAUCAGGAGGAACACCGGUGGCGAAGGCGGGUCUCUGGGCCGAUACUGACGCUGAGGAGCGAAAGCGUGGGGAGCGAACAGGAUUAGAUACCCUGGUAGUCCACGCCGUAAACGUUGGGCGCUAGGUGUGGGGACCAUUCCACG
rnacentral:rRNA from 1 species